rnacentral:rRNA from 1 species
AACGAACGCUGGCGGCAGGCCUAACACAUGCAAGUCGAGCGAGGUAGCAAUACCUAGCGGCGGACGGGUGAGUAACGCGUGGGAACGUGCCCUUUGCUUCGGAAUAGCCCCGGGAAACUGGGAGUAAUACCGAAUGUGCCCUUUGGGGGAAAGAUUUAUCGGCAAGGGAUCGGCCCGCGUUGGAUUAGGUAGUUGGUGGGGUAAUGGCCUACCAAGCCGACGAUCCAUAGCUGGUUUGAGAGGAUGAUCAGCCACACUGGGACUGAGACACGGCCCAGACUCCUACGGGAGGCAGCAGUGGGGAAUCUUAGACAAUGGGCGCAAGCCUGAUCUAGCCAUGCCGCGUGAGCGAUGAAGGCCUUAGGGUUGUAAAGCUCUUUCAGUGGGGAAGAUAAUGACGGUACCCACAGAAGAAGCCCCGGCUAACUCCGUG